UGGGGAAUUUUGCACAAUGGGGGAAACCCUGAUGCAGCGACGCCGCGUGAUUUAGAAGGCCUUCGGGUUGUAAAAAUCUUUUUUACGGGAUGAAAAUGACAGUACCGUAAGAAUAAGGUCCGGCUAAAUACGUGCCAGCAGCCGCGGUAAUACGUAUGGACCGAGCGUUGUCCGGAAUCAUUGGGCGUAAAGGGUACGUAGGCGGCCUAGUAAGUUAGAAGUGAAAUAAUAUAGCUCAACUAUAUAAAGCUUUUAAAACUGCUAGGCUUGAGAGAUGGAAGGGAAAGUGGAAUUCCUAGUGUAGCGGUGAAAUACGCAGAUAUUAGGAAGAAUACCGGUGGCGAAAGCGACUUUCUGGUCAUCAUCUGACGCUGAGGUACGAAAGCGUGGGUAGCAAACAGG
rnacentral:rRNA from 1 species